AGGCACUCCUGGAAGGAACCCAGGAUGAUCUGAGGGAGCUGGACUUGGGCAAGGUCGAGAUCCCGGAGCCGACCGUGGUCGCGCUUGGUCAAAACCUGCGGGUGCGCCAGCUCCUGCGGCAGAAGCGCCUGGCGGCCUCUCUGGAUGCCUAGGGUCGGCAGCAUCGGUGCCGUCCGUGUCCUGUCCACCUCCGGCGGCACGAGGAGAUGAUCGUCCCUGGAGGAGCCCCCCGAUCCCCUUUGAGCCCGGGGCCGUUUCCCCUCAAUAAUCAAUAAACCCUUUCAGCAGAGCUGCCCUCUCUGUCUGUCUGUCCCUCUGGGUGAGUCUGUCCGUGUGUCCGGGUUUCCGCUCUGCCGCUGUGCAGGGCAGCUCGCCCGGGGCUCUGCUCCC